rnacentral:rRNA from 1 species
GAUGAACGCUGGCGGCGUGCCUAAUACAUGCAAGUCGAGCGAACAGACGAGGAGCUUGCUCCUCUGACGUUAGCGGCGGACGGGUGAGUAACACGUGGAUAACCUACCUAUAAGACUGGGAUAACUUCGGGAAACCGGAGCUAAUACCGGAUAAUAUAUUGAACCGCAUGGUUCAAUAGUGAAAGACGGUUUUGCUGUCACUUAUAGAUGGAUCCGCGCCGCAUUAGCUAGUUGGUAAGGUAACGGCUUACCAAGGCAACGAUGCGUAGCCGACCUGAGAGGGGGAGCGGACAAAGGAGAAGAGAGAAAGGGACAAGACAAAGAGGGGAGGAAACAGAGGGGAAUAGGAGGAAAGGGGGGAAAGAAGGAGGGAGAAAGGGGGAGGGAGGGAAAAAGGUAUGGGGAGGGAAAAAAUGUGUAAGAAGGAAAAAAAAAAGGGGAAAGAAAAAAGGCAGGUGUGGAGGGAAACAAAAAAGAAAGAAACGGCAAACAAGGGG